GAGUUUGAUCUUGGCUCAGAUUGAACGCUGGCGGCAGGCCUAACACAUGCAAGCCGAGCGGAUGACGGGAGCUUGCUCCUUGAUUCAGCGGCGGACGGGUGAGUAAUGCCUAGGAAUCUGCCUGGUAGUGGGGGACAACGUUUCGAAAGGAACGCUAAUACCGCAUACGUCCUACGGGAGAAAGCAGGGGACCUUCGGGCCUUGCGCUAUCAGAUGAGCCUAGGUCGGAUUAGCUAGUUGGUGGGGUAAUGGCUCACCAAGGCGACGAUCCGUAACUGGUCUGAGAGGAUGAUCAGUCACACUGGAACUGAGACACGGUCCAGACUCCUACGGGAGGCAGCAGUGGGGAAUAUUGGACAAUGGGCGAAAGCCUGAUCCAGCCAUGCCGCGUGUGUGAAGAAGGUCUUCGGAUUGUAAAGCACUUUAAGUUGGGAGGAAGGGCAGUAAGUUAAUACCUUGCUGUUUUGACGUUACCGACAGAAUAAGCACCGGCUAACUCUGUGCCAGCAGCCG
rnacentral:rRNA from 1 species